CGGGCCUGCUGAUCAUCCUGGUCCUGGCUGUCCUCUUCUUCUUCUUCGGGAGGCCCACAUAUGCCGCCAUACGCAAAAGAAUGUCACAGAAAAGGCAGACCCGAUGGGUCGGCCCAACGCAGACUCAAAGUGUGUACUACAAUAGAGACCAGCCGCCGGGACCCAACAACAACACGUUCAAGAGACACUCGUAUCCAGCUCUGGAAAAACUGACCGUCGGUGCAAGCAGGGAGACAUCGUCCAAUCGUAAUAGUGACUACUCAUACAAUUGAAUGAAAAUCUUCACUGUGACUGUCAUCAACAUCAAUGUGUUCUCAGGUUCUACUUGCCUGAAUAAUGUGUACUGAUUUUUUCUUCAGAAUUGCUUAUGUGUUUUAAUUUUUUUACCCAUAACAACUGCAUUGCAAUGUACAUAGCUAAGACUGUAUCUGUCAAUUGCAUUGUCGUAAAUAAAGCCCCCAUUUUUUU